rnacentral:rRNA from 1 species
GAUGAACGCUGGCGGCGUGCUUAACACAUGCAAGUCGAACGAAGCACUUUAUUUGAUUUCCUUCGGGACUGAUUAUUUUGUGACUGAGUGGCGGACGGGUGAGUAACGCGUGGGUAACCUGCCUUGUACAGGGGGAUAACAGUUGGAAACGGCUGCUAAUACCGCAUAAGCGCACAGCAUCGCAUGAUGCAGUGUGAAAAACUCCGGUGGUAUAAGAUGGACCCGCGUUGGAUUAGCUAGUUGGUGAGGUAACGGCCCACCAAGGCGACGAUCCAUAGCCGACCGGAGAGGGGGCCCGGCCACAUGGGGACUGAGACACGCCCCAAACCCCUAGGGGAGGAGGCGGGGGGGAAUAUGGCAAAAUGGGCGAAGGCCUGAGGCACCGACGCCGGGGGAGGAAAGAAGUUUUGCGGUAGGAAAAGCUUAAGAAGAAGGGAAGAUAAUGACGGUACCUGACAAAGAACCCCGGGCAAAAUCCGUC